rnacentral:rRNA from 1 species
UACGAAGGGGGGCUAGCGUUGUUCGGAAUCACUGGGCGUAAAGCGCACGUAGGCGGACUUUCAAGUCAGGGGUGAAAUCCCGGGGCUCAACCUCGGAAUUGCCUUUGAUACUGUAAGUCUCGAGUCCGGAAGAGGUGGGUGGAAUUCCUAGUGUAGAGGUGAAAUUCGUAGAUAUCGGGAGGAACACCUGUGGCGAAAGCGGCGCACUGGACCACAUCUGACGCUGAGGCGCGAAAGCUAGGGGAGCAAACAGA